GUGUCAGCAGCCGCGGUAAUACGUAGGGUGCGAGCGUUAAUCGGAAUUACUGGGCGUAAAGCGUGCGCAGGCGGUUCGUUAAGUUUGUGGUGAAAGCCCCGGGCUCAACCUGGGAAUGGCCAUGGAAACUGGCGGGCUGGAGUGUGGCAGAGGGGGGUGGAAUUCCACGUGUAGCAGUGAAAUGCGUAGAGAUGUGGAGGAACACCGAUGGCGAAGGCAGCCCCCUGGGCCAACACUGACGCUCAGGCACGAAAGCGUGGGGAGCAAACAGGAUUAGAUACCCGGGUAGUCC
rnacentral:rRNA from 1 species